UAGGGAAUAUUGCAUAAUGGGCGAAAGCCUGAUGCAGCAACGCCGCGUGUGCGAUGAAGGCCUUCGGGUCGUAAAGCACUUUUUGAGAGGAUGAGGAAGGACAGUACUCUCAGAAUAAGCCUCGGCUAACUACGUGCCAGCAGCCGCGGUAAAACGUAGGAGGCGAGCGUUAUCCGGAUUUACUGGGCGUAAAGCGCGUGCAGGCGGUAAGGAAAGUUGGAUGUGAAAGCUCCUGGCUUAACUGGGAGAGGUCGUUCAAAACUACCUAACUAGAGUGUGGGAGAGGGCGGCGGAAUUCCGGGUGUAGUGGUGAAAUGCGUAGAUAUCCGGAGGAACACCAGUGGCGAAAGCGGCCUCCUGGCCCAAGACUGACGCUCAGACGCGAAAGCUAGGGUAGCAAACG
rnacentral:rRNA from 1 species